CAGCCGCCGCGGUAAUACGUAGGGUGCGAGCGUUAAUCGGAAUUACUGGGCGUAAAGCGUGCGCAGGCGGUUAUAUAAGACAGAUGUGAAAUCCCCGGGCUCAACCUGGGACCUGCAUUUGUGACUGUAUAGCUAGAGUACGGUAGAGGGGGAUGGAAUUCCGCGUGUAGCAGUGAAAUGCGUAGAUAUGCGGAGGAACACCGAUGGCGAAGGCAAUCCCCUGGACCUGUACUGACGCUCAUGCACGAAAGCGUGGGGAGCAAACAGGAUUAGAUACCCCGGUAGUCCCUGUCUCUUAUAA
rnacentral:rRNA from 1 species